CAAAAUGUGAUCGAAAUCGAAAUUCGUAUUUUGACAGCUAGUAUCUAAAAUAUUCUGAAUAUUUUUUUUACAUUUUUAUUCUGUGCGUGUUCUCAUGAUGGAAUCUAAUAUAACUCGAGUAAACCGUCUGGAAUUUACAUACAAGUUAUUUUGCUUUAUUAACCAGCAUUUGGUCUUAAUAAGAGCAAAGUUUCCAAUGGAUGAUGACAGACUGGAGUUUUGUGCAGAAUAUUAUACCUAUAAGUUCCUUGAUAUGGAGGUAACUCAUUGCAAUGAAUUUGGAUUUAAACUCUUAUUCGACGAUUUAACCAAAGAAAAAGUUAGAGAAUUUAUAAUGACCACCAUUGAGGAUAUGACUGCUGAAGAGAUUGACACAACCAAUUAUUUCACUUCGAAGGAAAUGUAGAAGCGUUGAAGAUUCUGGCAUACCACUUGGUGUAGCGGAAUUAGUGUUUAAAUAUUAACAGCAACAGCUGUUGUCGAUAACUUUUUUGCAUGUGCAAAUUUACACACACGUGUGUAAUCUCAAUUAAUAAUGCCUUUCGCUGUACUUAUCAUUUGUUAAAUUACUAAUAAUA